UCCUACCUCUCACGGCGAAAAAGGGGCGUUUCUUUUCGCGCGCCCAUGUAUGCUACAGCCUUCGGUGUCCCAAAGGCCGCUUUUACCGCUGUAAAGUUUGUUUUAGCGAAACCCAUGCAAGAUUCAGCCAAACAGACGCAUCCAUGGAUUCUCGCCGUCAUCACAAAUUGUGCUGCGCUGAGUGAUGUCGGAAUUCUUCACGACACACCGGCAUAGAAUUCUUUCGGAUCCCGGCGGACGAAAGAUCUCGCGCUUGGCUUCAGUAUGCGAGACGGCAGGACCUGGCUCAUUUACCACCUCGUCAGAUCUACAGCAGCUACCGCCUGUGCUCUGCCCAUUUCACCAGCAGAGACUACGCAGACCCUAGACAGACAAGGCUGCUAAGAUGUGCUGUGCAAACAGUUUCCAUCUUUGGCGAUGGGCAGACACACGUCGAAAGUCCAGGCUCUCCUCGGCCCGCGAAUACCACUGCAAUGCCCGCUCACAGCGCCGAUGAAGAGUUCAACAGACUGCGCCCUCAUGUACGCAAAGUUGUAUUUGUACUGCAUAAACCGUA